rnacentral:rRNA from 1 species
UGGAUGCCCUGGCAGUCAGAGGCGAUGAAGGACGUGCUAAUCUGCGAAAAGCGUCGGUAAGGUGAUAUGAACCGUUACAGCCGGCGAUGUCCGAAUGGGGAAACCCAGUGCAAUUCGUUGCACUAUCGUUAACUGAAUACAUAGGUUAACGAGGCGAACCGGGGGAACUGAAACAUCUAAGUACCCCGAGGAAAAGAAAUCAACCGAGAUUCCCCCAGUAGCGGCGAGCGAACGGGGAGCAGCCCAGAGUCUGAAUCAGCUUGUGUGUUAGUGGAACGGUCUGGAAAGUCCGACGGUACAGGGUGAUAGUCCCGUACACCAAAAUGCACAGGCUGUGAACUCGAAGAGUAGGGCGGGACACGUGGUAUCCUGUCUGAAUAUGGGGGGACCAUCCUCCAAGGCUAAAUACU